GCUUUCAUAGCUCAAUUGGAUAGAGCAUCUGACUUCGGAUCAGAAGGUUGGGGGUUCGAGCCCUCCUGGGAGCGCCA
rnacentral:tRNA from 1 species